rnacentral:rRNA from 1 species
UACGAAGGGGGCUAGCGUUGUUCGGAAUUACUGGGCGUAAAGCGCACGUAGGCGGAUACUUAAGUCAGGGGUGAAAUCCCGGGGCUCAACCCCGGAACUGCCUUUGAUACUGGGUAUCUCGAGUCCGGAAAAGGUGAGUGGAAUUCCGAGUGUAGAGGUGAAAAUUCGUAGAUAUUCGGAGGAACACCAGUGGCGAAGGCGGCUCACUGGUCCGGUACUGACGCUGAGGUGCG